CCGGGGCGCAUGCGCCGUCGGGCGGCCGCCGGUUCCCCUCCCGCUCGCGAUUCACCUCGGGCCGCGGCGGAGCCGGAGGGGAGCGCGGCGCGCAGGCACUUCUGUCCUGAAGUCUUACAAGACUGUGACAUGAAAUAAAAAAGGGGAAAAAAAUAAUAAACAAGAAAAGAACCUUAGGCUUUACCUAUCCAACUAUGAUGUGCCAGAGCUGAGAGCUGUAUAAGCAUUAUGACCCUCAGUGACAUCUGUCAUUUACCUGUUCAGUACCCUGAACAGGAGAUGUUCACUACAAGCUGGACUGGCAAAGAGAUACCAGGGACUGUUUCCAAGUGAAAGUUCCUCUGAAGGAUAAUGUACCUUUUCCACAAUAAAUCUGGCUCGCUCUGC